UGGGGAAUUUUGGACAAUGGGGGCAACCCUGAUCCAGCAAUGCCGCGUGAGUGAAGAAGGCCUUCGGGUUGUAAAGCUCUUUUGUCAGGGAAGAAACACCGGCUCUAACACAGUCCGGGAAUGACGGCACCUGAAGAAUAAGCACCGGCUAACUACGUGCCAGCAGCCGCGGUAAGACGUAGGAUGCAAGCGUUGUCCGGAUUUAUUGGGCGUAAAGAGUUCGUAGGUGGUUUGUUAAGUCUGAUGUUAAAGAUCGGGGCUCAACCCCGGGAGUGCAUUGGAUACUGGCAGACUUGAGUGCGGUAGAGGUAAGUGGAAUUCCCAGUGUAGCGGUGAAAUGCGUAGAUAUUGGGAAGAACACCAGUGGCGUAGGCGACUUACUGGGCCGUAACUGACACUGAGGAACGAAAGCCAGGGGAGCAAAUGGG
rnacentral:rRNA from 1 species